AGGAGCCGUGUGAGAUGAAAGUCUCAUGCACGGUUUUGAAUGAGAGAAAGAAGUGAGACAACCACUGAUGAAGGAUUCCUCAAAAAUUUAAGGAUUAGUAAUCUUUUUUAAAAAUCGAAUGGAUUCGGU
rnacentral:ncRNA from 1 species